UCAGGACGAACGCUGGCGGCGUGCCUAACACAUGCAAGUCGAGCGAGGAGAUCCUUCGGGAUGAUCCUAGCGGCGGACGGGUGAGUAACACGUGGGCAACCUGCCUCAUAGAGAGGAAUAGCCUUCCGAAAGGGAGAUUAAUACCUCAUAACAUUGCAGUUUCGCAUGGAACAGCAAUUAAAGGAGCAAUCCGCUAUGAGAUGGGCCCGCGGCGCAUUAGCUAGUUGGUGAGGUAACGGCUCACCAAGGCGACGAUGCGUAGCCGACCUGAAAGGGUGAUCGGCCACAUUGGGACUGAGACACGGCCCAGACUCCUACGGGAGGCAGCAGUGGGGAAUAUUGCACAAUGGGGGAAACCCUGAUGCCAGCAACGCCGCGUGAGUGAUGACGGCCUUCGGGUUGUAAAGCUCUGUCUUCAGGGACGAUAAUGACGGUACCUGAGGAGGAAGCCACGGCUAACUACGUGCCAGCCGCCGC
rnacentral:rRNA from 1 species